UUGAAACUACAGUCUAACUUAAUCUACCGCUCAGAGGGACAGACCGCCGUGUUGCCGUGCACCUUCGCUGACUCCACUGAUGAACAGCCCCCCCGCUGGUCUACUCGGAUCUCCCCUGAUCCAGGACUACUGAACCAGACUGAUCCUUCAGUAGACCAGAACUACUCGCUGGUGUUUUCAUCUCUGAUGUUAAAUCACUCAGGUCGGUACUUCUGUAGAGUCUCUAUGAGAGAGCAACAGUAUGUGCUGGUGGUGUGUCCCACAUUCGGCCCCCCCACUGUAGAGCUCUUCUCAGAGGGAGAUGAUGUCACUCUCAGGUGCACAGGUGGGGGGGGGGGGUAGGGAGCAUGAUUGGUUCAUCAAGUCAGACCGAACAGAGGGAAGAGUCUUUAAUGUAAGGUCUGGUCAGAGCAUGAGCAGAGUGAGCAGGGACUAUGUUAAUGGUAACCUGGUUAUUUCUAAUAUGUCAGUGGGGGACACGGGUGGGUACUGGUGUGUAGUUACUGACCUAUAUGACCAGUGCAUGUCCACAGAGAGGACGGUGGUGGUCUACGUGGAG